rnacentral:rRNA from 1 species
GGGUCAGUAGGUUGGUCGUGCCACCGGUACGUACUGGUCUCACUGAUUCCUCCUUCCUGAAUGACCGUAAUGCCAUUAAUUUGGUGUUGCGGGGAAACAGGACUGUUACUUUGAAAAAAUUAGAGUGUUUAAAGCAAGCUAACGCUUGAGUACAUUAGCAUGGAAUAAUGAAAUAGGACGAUCGAUCCUAUUUUGUUGGUUUCUAGGAUUGACGUA